rnacentral:lncRNA from 1 species
GGGGCCCAGCAGUACCUGGUGCACAUUCAAAAGUACUUUCAACAGGAGCAAAGCCGAGCCUCCCGUGGUGUGCUGGGCUCUGUGCCACCCGGAGGGUGGAAGUGAGGAACGCUGAGUGGGACCACGCUCUUCAGUACCCCACCCGCACUUCCCAUGAAGGAGACAGGAAUGUUGUCCCCAGUGCUGGUCGGUCAGGCAUUCAGUCGACAAACACCCACCCAGCAGAUGGCCUUGGGCUCAGCAGAUGCACAGAACCGGUAAGCACAGCCGAGGAGAACAGCGAGAACGGAGCUGGCCCAAGGGAGAGCCUACCUGGAAAGAGGAGAUAGAGAAAUUGGAUUCCAAGCCACGGAGGACAGCAAGUCUGCAUCCAGAAGCCUGGAGAGACAAAAGACUGCUGUCAAAGAGAGGAGCGGCCCAAAGUUCCGGCCUAGAGCAAAGGUGGCAGCUAGGAAAAGGAGGAAGGGAAGGAGGGAGGGAGGGAGAGGGGAAGACAAAUGGAUGCAUUGUCCACAACUCCAUGGCAGACACCGUGCGUGCUGUGUCAUUAAUUCCAACAACAAUAAACUUUCAAAGCAGACGUCGUGAUUCCCAUUUUACAGUUGGCAUAACUGAGGAUCGUACCUUGGAGUGACUUAGGUAGCUCUUACCUACCUACCUACCAUGGACUCAAGCAAGGGAGACCACAUCCGUUCAAAUGCAGAUGUGUCUGAUCUCGAAGGUCAUGCACCUCCAGGUCCUCACCCCAGGCAGUGCCUUAGUAUCAGCUGCUGAGAAGUUUCCACUAGAAGAGAGGAGAGAGGGUGACACACUCACCUGAGUGGUGCAUCCCACACGCCCGGUGAGCACUCACCAGAUCCUAAGCCCAGGGACACCUGGUCCUGCAGAGAAAUGGAAACAACAGUCUUGCCAAAGACCUCUAAGGUUGCUGGGGGUGGUGGGCAGACAUGCACAGAUGGCCCAGUCUUGGGAAGCUCCCUCCAGCUCGACGGGCUGACCCCCACCCUCCAGAGACUCCACGGGUGUACCUGCCAUCUAGCCCCUGGACCCCUCCUCAACCAGCUCUACAGCUGUGAUGUUUCCCCCACCUGACCCUGGGCAUCCUGGGGAGUCGCUUCUCUCUUCCUUGGCUUCUCCUCCUCCUCCCUCCAAGCCCAUCAGCGCAGGCGUAGCAGAGAGGGGCUAGGCCACAGCCAUCCCAUAGAACUUUCCCCACUGUCCAUCACAGUAGUCACCAGCCACAUGAGCCUAUCCAUCAUUUGAAAUGUGACUUAUGCAAAUGAGGAACUUUGUUUUAUUUCAGCGCAUUUCCAUUUCAAUCACUGCAGGGCUAGAUGCUUUGAGAAUACCUGUUGGCUGGGAGAGAGGAAGAUAAGAGAAAGAAAAAGGAGGAGAAUGAAAGGAAGACAAGGGUGAGGGUAGGGGAAAGCCAAUCAGUACAAGCAGGGAGGGAAGGAAGGAGGAGGGAGGGAGGGGAAAGUACUGGUAUCAGAGAACAGACAGGCAAGUGUAGGUUGGUGUGGGCUCGUUCCCGCAGCCUUCUUAGCCCUUGGUGAGUGCAGCUCCUGGAGAGUCCAAGUCCAAGCAUCUUCAAGGACAUCAAGUGGUCACCACCCCCCAAAGCCCCUGGAUGCAGAAGCAGAGACCCAAGAGUGUCAGAUAGACCGGGCCUGGGCCUCCUCCUGGCGGCACAUGGGGGGUGAGCUCAGAGGUGGGAGAUGCUGGCCUCCGCCCAUCCCCAACUCCUCCCCCCUACCCUGCCUCCGUCUCCACAUCAGCAAUAGAUUUCCAGGACACUCUAAUGAAGUACAUCUUGAGUCUCCUUUUCACGGCUAAUGAGGAGACAACAAGAAUUUGACUAAUACCAGUACAAUUACUGGAGCAGUCAAGCGAGGGCCUCUGAUUAGACGUGAUAAUUUGCAAGGCUGGGCUCUUCACAUUAAGUUUGCAAACAGUUUAAAAAUCACUUCCUCUAUUUAUCCAGCUAAUCCCUGUUUAAUGACUCCAGACCCAAGAAAAGAAAGGGGAAAUGUCUCUUUAAAAAUUAAUAAAUUAAUUAAUUAAUUAACA